rnacentral:rRNA from 1 species
UACGGGGGGAGCAAGCGUUGUUCGGAUUUACUGGGCGUAAAGGGCGCGUAGGCGGCCAGCACAAGUCAGUUGUGAAAUCUCCGAGCUUAACUCGGAAAAGUCAACUGAUACUGUGCGGCUAGAGUGCGGAAGGGGCAACUGGAAUUCUUGGUGUAGCGGUGAAAUGCGUAGAUAUCAAGAGGAACACCUGCGGCGAAGGCGGGUUGCUGGACCGACACUGACGCUGAUGCGCGAAAGCUAGGGGAGCGAACGGG